GGAGAGAUGCGAGAGCGGUUGAAUCGGGCGGACUCGAAAUCCGUUAUGCCGCGUAAGCGGCAUCGAGGGUUCGAAUCCCUCUCUCUCCG
rnacentral:tRNA from 1 species